GAAGUUAGAGGUUCGAAGGCGAUCAGAUACCGCCCUAGUUCUAACCAUAAACGAUGCCAGCUAGCGAUCCGGCUGUGUUCCUCAAAUGACACGCCGGGCAGCUUCCGGGAAACCAAAGCUUUUGGGUUCCGGGGGGAGUAUGGUUGCAAAGCUGAAACUUAAAGGAAUAGACGGAAGGGCACCACCAGGAAUGGAGCCUGCGGCUUAAUUUGACUCAACACGGGAAAACUUACCCGGCCCGGACACAGGAAGGAUUGACAGAUUAAGAGCUCUUUCUUGAUUCUGUGGGUGGUGGUGCAUGGCCGCUCUUAGUUCGUGGAGCGAUUUGUCUGGUUAAUUCCGAUAACGAACGAGACUCUAGCCUAUUAAAUAGACGCUUCGAUCAUCACUGUCGGGCGUUCUUCUUAGAGGGAUAAACGGCGUUUAGCCGCACGAGACAGAGCAAUAGCAGGUCUGUGAUGCCCUUAGAUGUCCGGGGCCGCACGCGCGCUACAUUGAAGGAAACAGCGUGUGCUUUCCCUCUCUGACAAGAGUGGGUAACCCGUUGAAACUCCUUCGUGCUGGGGAUAGAAGUUUGAAACUGUUCUUCUUGAACGAGGAAUUCCCAGUAAGCACGAGUCAUUAGCUCGUGUUGACUACGUCCCUGGCCUUUGUACUCACCGCCCGUCGCUGUUACCGAUAGAAUGAUUCAGUGAGGUCUUCGGACUGGCGCUCGGAGCGGCCUUCGGGUCACGCGCCGCGGUGCCGGAAAGAUGACCGAACUCGAUUAUU
rnacentral:rRNA from 1 species